CCUACGGGAGGCAGCAGUCGAGAAUCAUUCACAAUGGGGGAAACCCUGAUGGUGCGACGCCGCGUGGGGGAAUGUAGGUCUUCGGAUUGUAAACCCCUGUCAUGUGGGAGCAAAUUAAAAAGAUAGUACCACAAGAGGAAGAGACGGCUAACUCUGUGCCAGCAGCCGCGGUAAUACAGAGGUCUCAAGCGUUGUUCGGAAUCACUGGGCGUAAGGCGUGCGUAGGCUGUUUCGUAAGUCGUGUGUGAAAGGCGCGGGCUCAACCCGCGGACGGCACAUGAUACUGCGAGACUAGAGUAAUGGAGGGGGAACCGGAAUUCUCGGUGUAGCAGUGAAAUGCGUAGAUAUCGAGAGGAACACUCGUGGCGAAGGCGGGUUCCUGGACAUUAACUGACGCUGAGGCACGAAGGCCAGGGGAGCGAAAGGGAUUAGAUACCCUUGUAGUC
rnacentral:rRNA from 1 species